rnacentral:rRNA from 1 species
UACGGAGGGGGCUAGCGUUGUUCGGAAUUAUUGGGCGUAAAGGGCGCGUAGGCGGCGGGGUAAGUCGGGUGUGAAAUCUCAGAGCUCAACUCUGAAAUGGCACUUGAUACUGCUCUGCUAGAGGACUGGAGAGGAGAUUGGAAUUCACGGUGUAGCAGUGAAAUGCGUAGAUAUCGUGAGGAAGACCGGUGGCGAAGGCGGAUCUCUGGACAGUUCCUGACGCUGAGGCGCGAAGGCCAGGGGAGCAAACGGG